UGCUAACCUUUCCUAUACCCUUCCCAACACUUUCGGUUGCUAGCUAGCUAGUCUUCAAUUCUUCAUCAUUUCGCUUUUUUAGUGCUGCUACUGUACCACCAUCAGAUCAGGUCAGAUGAUAUCUGCCUCUUGUUCAGCACCCUCCAUUAUGACCUUUUUUAUUUCUUUAGCACGCUGACCUCUUUUCUUUUCCUGAAAUAGUAAAAAAGUCCUCAAUUUAUAAACUCUUUCAGAAUCGACUCGAGGGAAAAAAAUUUCUUCGGAGGCAAAAAUGGGUUUCGAAAUCCAAGAAGAAUUCAGGCCGAUUACUCCAAUCCGAGUAGUUCCAGUUCAGCAUCCAACUGUAAACUCAACAGAAGAUGCUCUUGAAGAGUGCCUUACACCCAAGUCACCUGCAGCUCGCAUGAUCUUGAAGCAGCCGUUGGUGUGUCCACCAGCUCCCAAGAAACCACCCCAACCUAGAAGAAAGUUGAGGUCUCCAUCCAAAGAACUUUUUAAGGUUCCAGACGACUUUGCAUCGGUGUUGAGGGUGAUUAGUACUAGUGCUGCUCCUACCAAGAAGAUCAGAGCCAGUUAAGAUCAAAUACUUGAAUUUAUUUCAAUGAAAAUAAUGUUUUUAAUCAAUUGUUUAGUAAUUAGGGCUAAAAUACGGGUUUCCAUGAAUACUAUUUAUUAUAAUUUCUUUUAAUUAUUAUCAAAUAUAAAUGUGGUUUUUUUGUCUUUUCUCACUUCAUUUUUUUAAGUUUUAUUAUUACUAGUACUAUUAUUUUGAUGGGAAAACGAUAAUAUAUAAAGUUGCCAUUAAGUUUUCUACCCAAAAACUCAGUUUUGAAUUUUUAAUGUUGUAGACUUGAUGUCAAGGUUCUAAAAGUCGCUUAGCGAUAAUCAGACAAUGGCUUGGGCAGUUUUUAUUUUUUAAUUUAAUUUUUAUGUUUAUAACAUAUAGUCAUAUAAAUAAAAAUAGAAAAAUAGAAAAAUUAAUUAAAAAAAAUUAAAAUUAUGUGAGAAUUUCAAUAUUUGCAUGACGAUUUCCAAAAAAAAGUAUUCGCAUGUGUGGGUGGAAUUUUGACCGUAUUUUUUUGAGUUUUGACUAAUGCUUUAGAGCAUGCCAUGAGUCCCGCCAUGACCAUUUCUUGGCCUAGGUUAAGUAAUUGAUCUCAUAAAUAAAACAGGUCAAGGCCCAAAUAUUUUUCUCACAACAAAACUUCUCCAGAAGUUUUUUUUGAUUAGAAACUAGGAGAAGUCGCUAGCUGCUUUUUUCAUAUCGAGAAGACAACCAAACCAAUUAAGGCGUAAUUGCUUCCUUUAUGGUCAUAAUCUAAUGGUGGCAUGAGCGGUUGACUAAGUGAUGACCUGACUCUUCAAUGUGCGACGCGAAGAGAAUGAGAGAUUGGCAAACUCUGUUCGACUAAUCGCCUGCCUAGACCACCAGGCCAACUAAUCGCCUGCCCAGGUCAACAAACCAUCCGCCCAAAACUCAGGCCGACUGCUUCACCGAUUUAGUGUUAGUCGAGGCGGACACGCGCAGUCCAACGCCUAGGCGGCCACUCUGGCCAAAUUUUAGAACUAAAGAAAAAUUUAACCGAGCUUACAACUCGUACGGUUAACAAAAUAUAAUUUAAUAAUACUAGCCCUUUAACAUGUACUCCGCACAUAUCAAUUAGCUUUUAUUUUUAUUUUUUUAAAUUAAAAAAAGU